rnacentral:rRNA from 1 species
UGGGGAAUUUUUCGCAAUGGGGGAAACCCUGACAAAGCAACGCCGCGUGGAGGAUGAAGACCUUCGGGUUGUAAACUCCUGUCGACCGGGACGAAAGUAGUCCGACCCAAUACGUCGGGCUAUCGACUGUACCGGUGGAGGAAGCCACGGCUAACUCUGUGCCAGCAGCCGCGGUAAUACAGAGGGUGCGAACGUUGCUCGGAAUUACUGGGCGUAAAGCGCGUGUAGGCGGGACGGCAAGUCAGAUGUGAAAUCCCCGGGCUCAACUCGGGAACUGCAUCUGAAACUGCCGACCUUGAGUACUGGAGAGGGCGGCGGAAUUCCUGGUGUAGAGGUGAAAUUCGUAGAUAUCAGGAGGAACACCGGUGGCGAAGGCGGCCGCCUGGACAGUGACUGACGCUGAGACGCGAAAGCGUGGGGAGCAAA